GGGAACCUGUUUUUAUUUCCAAAUGUGGUGAACUUAUUUUGAUGAACAGCGAAUCUGAACAUUCUCUGCUCUCCUACAGUUUGUUAAAUAAUUUGCAUCAAGUACUUUUUUCAACAGAGCUCUGGUAAUGGCAAUAAAGCAUUUUUUUUUUUUUUUUUUUUUUUUGGAAAAAAAAAAAAAAAAAACAUUUGCCAGGUUUUUUUUUUUUUUUUUUUCUUUCAAACUGCAGCUGGACAAGCAUCUUAACUGCCUUUAUUUGAGACAAUGCAGUGGUCAUGCCUCUCUUAAUCAUGGAAGUUCCGCAGGAACCAUCAGCUCUCACAAGAGCAUUUCACUAUUACACAGUCAGAACCUGGUGCAACAGCUUCUCAAGUCAAAAACUGAGAGGGAAGAAGCGGGGUGACCACUGUGGCGUGAAGAGGGGACGCAGAAAUCCCAUCUCCCCUGCCUCGUAGUACCGCCACUCCCUUCCAAUGAUGCUGCCGUUGCUCAAACGUCCUGCAUGCCGCCUCUGGUGCUACCCACGGUACUUCCUCUCCAAACAGACGGAGAAGUGUUUCAAGGCGUAGGUAAUCACCACUGGUGACUCUGUGAGGGGUCCAACUAGAUAGGAUUUUUCUUUUUCGUUACGGCAGAUUCAAAGAUAAGGAGACAAGUUUUCUUUCACAGCUAAGUCAUCAACUACUCAGAAGGGGAAUCCACGGGAUAAAGUCUCAGAGUUUUUGAGCAAUGCCAGCAUAAUGGGGGGGAGGUUCAAAACAUCCAGCUGAUUAUGGAAGGACACUUCCGGUUCUAAUUGGUGGGAUAGGUUUGUGUAACAACAAAACAAAAGAAAAAUCGCUGAAAUUUUAUCUCAUGUUAUAUGGG